AAUAUUGGACAAUGGGGGCAACCCGGAUCCAGCCAUCCCGCUUGUGUGAGGAAGGUCUUGGUAUUNUCAUGCACCUUAGUUUGGGGNGAAGGGCUUUAGGCUAAUACCCUGAAGUUUGGACUUUACCAACUGAUUAAGCACCGGCUAACUUUUUCCCAGCAGCCGCGGUAAUACAGAGGGUGCAAGAGUUAAUCGGACUUACGGGGCGUAAAGCGCGCGUAGGUGGUUCAGUCAGAGGGGUGUGAAAGACACGGGGUUAAACUGGGAACUGCUUUAAAAACUGCUGAGCUAGAGUAUGGUAGAGGGUAGUGGAAUUUCCUGAGUGGAGGUGAAAUGCGUAGAUAUAGGAAGGAACACCAGUGGCGAAGGCGACUACCUGGGCUGAGAAUGACACUGAGGUGCGAAAGCGUGGGGAGAAAACA
rnacentral:rRNA from 1 species